UGUACUAUAUAACAUUGUACGUUCAACAGUUUGACAAACUGUUCAACACAUUGGUAUUAGUGAGCGAUCUAGUGCUAGCGGCAGCUUAUUCAUUUUCAUACCGUUGUACUGACAGCUGCAUUUUGUCUUGUUUUUUUCAACCGAAAGUGGCGAAAAAAUCAACUAGAAAUCUGUUAAAAAGUGAAAUAAUCCUUUAAUUGAGUAGCGGACCAUUACAAGUGUGGUUCGCAGUUAGCUAGUUAGCUGGAAAACAAGGUGAAAGUGAAAAAUAUCCAUGGGAGAAUGGAAACAUUUUUCACCGACGUCCUAGGCAGCAGCCACCGGAAGAAAAACAUUGAGGAACAAUUCCACCUUGCGAUCUUUAGAUACUAAGAUCAUAUGUAAUUGUUUGAAUUAAUACCUUCGAUGGCGUCGAUACUGCAAAGUUCCAGCACGGUGAAGUUCCAGGAAGCCCAAAAUAAAUUUAUAUCUGACACUUAAGUGCAAAAAAGUGACAAGAGAGUGCAUGUUAUUCACGAAAUAUAUUAAAAAAUGUAAAAUUU